rnacentral:rRNA from 1 species
GGGGGAUAACGUAGGGAAACUUACGCUAAUACCGCAUACGACCUACGGGUGAAAGCAGGGGAUCUUCGGACCUUGCGCGAUUGAAUGACCCAAUGUCGGAUUAGCUAGUUGGCGGGGUAAAGGCCCACCAAGGCGACGAUCCGUAGCUGGUCUGAGAGGAUGAUCAGCCACACUGGAACUGAGACACGGCCCAGACUCCUACGGGAGGCAGCAUUGGGGAAUAUUGGACAAUGGGCGCAACCCUGAUCCAGCCAUACCGCGUGGGUGAAGAAGGCCUUCGGGUUGUAAAGCCCUUUUGUUGGGAAAGAAAUCCAGCUGGCUAAUACCCGGUUGGGAUGACGGUACCCAAAGAAUAAGCACCGGCUAACUUCGUGCCAGCAGCCGCGGUAAUACGAAGGGUGCAAGCGUUACUCGGAAUUACUGGGCGUAAAGCGUGCGUAGGUGGUCGUUUAAGUCCGUUGUGAAAGCCCUGGGCUCAACCUGGGAACUGCAGUGGAUACUGGGCGACUAGAGUGUGGUAGAGGGUAGCGGAAUUCCUGGUGUACAGUGAAAUGCUAGAGACAGGAGGAACAUCCAUGGCGAAGGC